GCCUGAUUGGCUCAGUCAGUAGAGCAUACAACUCUUGAUCUCGGGGUCAUGGGUUCUAGCCCCACAUCAGGUG
rnacentral:tRNA from 1 species